AACGAACGCUGGCGGCAGGCCUAACACAUGCAAGUCGAGCGGGGGAGCAAUCCCUAGCGGCGGACGGGCGAGUAACGCAUGGGAACGUGCCCUUUGGUACGGAAUAGCCCUGGGAAACUGGGAGUAAUACCGUAUGAGCUCUACGGAGGAAAGAUUUAUCGCCAAAGGAUCGGCCCGCGUUGGAUUAGGUAGUUGGUGGGGUAAUGGCCUACCAAGCCGACGAUCCAUAGCUGGUUUGAGAGGAUGAUCAGCCACACUGGGACUGAGACACGGCCCAGACUCCGACGGGAGGCAGCAGUGGGGAAUCUUAGACAAUGGGCGCAAGCCUGAUCUAGCCAUGCCGCGUGAGCGAUGAAGGCCUUAGGGUUGUAAAGCUCUUUCGUGGGGGAAGAUAAUGACUGUACCCCAAGAAGAAGCCCCGGCUAACUCCGUGCCAGCCGCCGCCGUAACAC
rnacentral:rRNA from 1 species